AUUGAACGCUGGCGGCAGGCCUAACACAUGCAAGUCGUACGAGAGGCGGACGGGUGAGUAAUGUCUGGGCAACUGCCCGAUGGAGGGGGAUAACUACUGGAAACGGUAGCUAAUACCGCAUACUAUCGGAUGUGCCCAGAUGGGAUUAGCUAGUAGGUGGGGUAACGGCUCACCUAGGCGACGAUCCCUAGCUGGUCUGAGAGGAUGACGAGCCACACUGGAACGGGGACACGGGCCAGACACCUACGGGAGGCAGCAGUGGGGAAUAUGGCACAAUGGGCGCAAGCAUGAUGCAGCCAUGCAGGGUGUAUGAAGAAGGCCUUCGGGUUGUAAAGUACUUUCAGCGAGGAGGCGUGGCUCGCAGAAGAAACACCGGCUAAGUCCGUGCCAGCAGCCGCGGUAAUAC
rnacentral:rRNA from 1 species